rnacentral:sRNA from 1 species
ACGGGCUGUUAAGCGCAAAACACAUAUAAUGGAAUGUGUUAUCGGAGAUAACAAUAUGGGUAUUUCUGUAAUUGGUUUUCACUUUGGACUAAUUUUUUUAAUCAAUUUUGUUUAAAUAAACUUAUAAAAUAUUACAUUAUGCUAGUUGUACAAAAUUAAAAAGUUUUUUGUUACACCGAACAUUUCGCAAGCGAGCUUUCUUGAUUAGAUCCCUGGGUCGGCGGCAUCAUCAUGAGCAGGCCACAUACUGCAGCCAUGAUCGUGUACAUAGCGCCAGCAUCUGGUACAUUUAUUUACCUGCAAUUUUUACGACGUACAUUACCGGCAUCGUCUUCCCUCCUGCACCAUGCUUCACCUCAUCUGCUUUGAUCGGCUCUAUUUGGCGAGACGCUUUCUGGAGACAAACUGCUAUGCCGUGAUCCCCUCCUCUGACCCCGCCAGCAGGUCGCACACUCUGGUGGCUAGGAAUACCUCUUGAGUGCCCGCGGAUACCGAUAUGACCAGGGGCAUCAUCACCUUUUUGGUCUUCCGGUUCAUAUAAGCAAGUGUGCGCCUGAUGAUGUCUGUCCAAUUCAGGCGCCUGACCAGCUGACAUCGCGAACUCCCAGCCGGCUCCCGCGCACGGGGCCAAGAGCCAUGUGUGCCUCUCGAGCCAUGAUUCUUGUUGCUUUUUGUCCGACAUUUUGGUCCGGCAACUGCCAUGGCCAUCUUCCUUGCGUCCCCCGCUGUUUUCUCCUCCACUGGUGAUUCCGCCGUAGUUCCUCGUCCUCUGUGACAGCCACUGGCUUGCCUGUCCUGAUGCCGCUGCAACGUUAGUGAUGAUCAGUGAGCUGCAGUGAUCGACGGCGGAGUUGUUGGUUAACGCCAACGGGAAAUAAUGUCAUUCAUUAUUUCCCCCCCAUUCAUAAGCUGCCGAAUGAAACGCUGGGCUUCAGCUUCGAGACGCGGGUUUUUGGAGUCCUUAGCGAAGUAUCAAGGAUAUUUUUCCAAAUACACGAACCUAUGGAACGGCCAGAUCGGCCCACAAAUAACGAAGAAAACAGGAAAAAUAUGACUGCAGAAAAUAUCCUGGAUCUUUGGCCCAUGGUAAGGACUUCACCAAAUCAAAUAUUUUCUUAAGAUCACAGGAAGCUGUUGCACGCCUAGAUCGGACCAUAAAUAGCGAAAAAAUCAAAAUAUGUAUGAAUCAUGAAAAUCGAGAUUUUGAUGCCGUUCGAUAGUCUGGAUCGUCACGAUCCUGGGAGAACUUGUUAUUUACCGAUCGGCCCCUAAAUACCCGAGAUAUAGCCUUCCGAAUAUUUGGAUUUUGCAUUUCAUUAUAGUACUGGGUUUUUCUGCACACUAUA